AUGUGGGUUUUUUGUUGGUUAUCAUUUUUUAUUGUUGCACAUACACUAGAACUUUUUGGCAGCGGAAGGGGAAGGAUCCGUGUCGAUGCUGAUAGUGUUCAGAGGGUAUUUGAUCUCCCAAACAAGGGUCCAAAAGUCAGAUAUUUAGUUGACAAGGAUGCCACUAGGAGAUUCAGACAGGCUUUCAACAUAACUGGAAAUUCUCAUCCCCAGAUCACUACAUGGCUCAAGAUGAUUCAGCAUAUGGCUGGAAGAACGGAUGACACAUUCUUUAUGGCCUGGCUUGUGGUUGCCUUCAUCACUUUUCUAGCACCAACCACGACCUUGAAGCUCAGCCCAAAGUGUUAUGGACUUGUGCUAGAUCAUCAAAUGCUAAGGAAUACAAACAUCUGCCUCUUUGUAGCAGAACACAUUAACGAAGCUUUCCGGAACAUGGACCAGGAGAAGCAAACUGUCUGCUGCUGCUUGUAUCACUUGAUGAUACUAUACCUUGAUGCGCUCGUACAUGACAUCCCAGUAAGCAACUACGCGAUACGAUCGAAUGCAUGGGAUAGUACUCUAAUUGCCAAGGUGAUCAAGAAGGAUACUAUCUCUCCUGGUGUGUUCAGCAAAUUACAACUUAAAGAGGAGUAUAGAGGCACGGAGCAGACACCACUGUUUGGUGGAAUUUUGCAAGCUGAAGCAUUCAUGGCAUCCAAGUUACCAAUAACAUACAAUCCGCAGAAAAAGGCAAAGAUUGCGAAAGUGGUCAAUGAGAUGUGCAAGGCUGUAACUGAACAGGUUGGCACCUUCAUUGAAGAAGUUGCCAAGAUUGAUGACGAGGAACCAGAUAUUGAUCCUUACGUACAGCAGCCAUCAAUGCAAACUGGGGCGUCACGCCGUGCUCCAAAAAGAAAGAGACGGCGGAGAGGAGGAGGACAAAGAAGAAGAUAG
rnacentral:rRNA from 1 species